rnacentral:rRNA from 1 species
UGGGGAAUCUUGGACAAUGGGCGCAAGCCUGAUCCAGCCAUGCCGCGUGGAUGAUGAAGGCCUUCGGGUUGUAAAGCUCUUUUGUCAGGGAAGAAACGGUAGUAGCGAAUAACUAUUACUAAUGACGGUACCGUAAGAAGAAGCACCGGCUAACUACGUGCCAGCAGCCGCGGUAAUACGUAGGGUGCGAGCGUUAAUCGGAAUUACUGGGCGUAAAGCGUGCGCAGGCGGUUUGGUAAGACAGAUGUGAAAUCCCCGGGCUUAACCUGGGAACUGCAUUUGUGACUGCCAGACUAGAGUGUAGCAGAGGGGGGUAGAAUUCCACGUGUAGCAGUGAAAUGCGUAGAUAUGUGGAGGAAUACCGAUGGCGAAGGCAGCCCCCUGGGCUAACACUGACGCUCAUGCACGAAAGCGUGGGGAGCAAACAGGAUUAGAUACCCACGUAGUCCCUGAGCGGGC